AAGAUACUAGUAAAAUACAUUACACUGCCUUGUCAGGGCAAAAUUGUGAGUUAAAUCCUCACGUAUCUUA
rnacentral:tRNA from 1 species